AAUGAACGCUAGCGGCAGGCUUAAUGCAUGCAAGUCGAGGGACAGCACAGGUAGCAAUACUGGGUGGUAACCGGCAAACGGGUGCGGAACACGUACACAACCUUCCUUUAAGUGGGGGAUAGCCCAGAGAAAUUUGGAUUAAUACCCCGUAAUAUAGUUGAAUGGCAUCAUUUGAUUAUUAUAGCUACGGCGCUUAAUGAUGGGUGUGCGGCUGAUUAGAUAGUUGGCGGGGUAACGGCCCACCAAGUCUACGAUCAGUAGCUGAUGGGAGAGCAUGAUCCGCCACACGGGCACUGGGACACGGGCCCGACUCCUACGGGAGGCAGCAGUAAGGAAUAUCGGUCAAUGGACGCAAGUCUGAACCAGCCAUGCCGCGUGAAGGAUUAAGGUCCUCUGGAUUGUAACUUCUUUUAUUUGGGACGAAAAAGGGCCUUUCUAGGUCAACUGACGGUACCAGAUGAAUAAGCACCGGCUAACUCCGUGCCAGCCGCCGCCGUAACAC
rnacentral:rRNA from 1 species